rnacentral:rRNA from 1 species
ACUGCUCAGUAACACGUAGUCAACAUGCCCAGGGGACGUGGAUAACCUCGGGAAACUGAGGAUAAACCGCGAUAGGUCAUAGUAUCUGGAAUGAUUUAUGGCUCAAAUCUAUAUGGCCUCUGGAUUGGACUGCGGCCGAUCAGGCUGUUGGUGAGGUAAUGGCCCACCAAACCUAAAACCGGUACGGGCUCUGAGAGGAGAAGCCCGGAGAUGGGCACUGAGACAAGGGCCCAGGCCCUAUGGGGCGCAGCAGGCGCGAAAACUCUGCAAUAAGCGAAAGCUUGACAGGGUUAUUCUGAGUGAUUUCCGCUAAGGAAAUCUUUUGGCACCUCUAAAAAUGGUGCAGAAUAAGGGGUGGGCAAGCCUGGUGUCAGCCGCCGCGGUAAUACCAGCACCCCGAGUGGUCGGGACGAUUAUUGGGCCUAAAGCAUCCGUAGCCGGUUCUACAAGUCUUCCGUUAAAUCCACCUGCUCAACAGAUGGGCUGCGGAGGAUACUAUAGAGCUAGGAGGCGGGAGAGGCAAGCGGUACUUAGUGGGUAGGGGUAAAAUCCGUUGAUCCAUUGAAGACCACCAGUGGCGAAGGCGGCUUGCCAGAACGCACUCGACGGUGAGGGAUGAAAGCUGGGGGAGCAAACCGGAUUAGAUACCCGGGUAGUCCCAGCUGUAAACGAUGCAGACUCGGUGAUGAAUAGGCUUCGUGCCUAUUCAGUGCCGCAGGGAAGCCGUUAAGUCUGCCGCCUGGGGAGUACGGUCGCAAGACUGAAACUUAAAGGAAUUGGCGGGGGAGCA